rnacentral:lncRNA from 1 species
UCGAAAUACAAUCUAAAGAGAAGCUAGACCACGACAAAGAAAAGGUAAAAUAAAUCAUAAGUUGAAACACAUCACUUCUGUAUAUUUGGAACAUCUGUAAUCUUGUAGUACUUGUUCUGUUCCUUCUAAUGCUUCCAACAAAAAGAGAACUAGAUAACUGAUUUACAAACAUAUACUUCUUGCUUUUUGGCCUGAUCUCCAGCCAUAGAAGCAUUGAUAUGAACUUGAAUGUAUGGCAAACUCGAUCUUUUAUAUAAGUAUACUAUUAUGGUUUAUAACAAAAACAUUUAUCCUGGCAUAACAAAGAAAAAGGUACCAAGGACAAAAAUUUUGUUCUUCAGAUGGAGGUGUUGCCGAGGUUGAAUCAGUUGUGAAGUGGAUUAGGUCCGCAAGGCACAAUUCUCCGCGACACGACGUAAAGUCGGUGACCAUCAACUUCGUUCAUUCGCCGUGCAUAAUGUUCAGGAACUGCUGAAAAAUAUCGCGAAAAUGCAGAUAAGAACUUGGUUCUUAUUCUUCUUUCCUCUGUCGAUUCUAAUCGUUCAUCACUGGAAGAAGGAUGGUUAUUAUGGUUAAUAUGCCGACAACUACAAGUAUGAUAUUGUGAGAUGAGGAUUAUGACCACAAUUAUUAUAAUCCAGCGACAAGAAUAUUGAAUUUUCAUGGCUUCAGACAAAGUAUAACUAGAAGGCUUGAGAAGUUUUCUGAUAUGUGUUGGUGUAUAAAGUACAUGGAUCAGAGAAGAGUAUUUAUAACGAAAUAGCCGACUAUAAAGUCAGCUCUGGAAAAAUAAGCUUAUUCCAAACAAUAAGCUUAUUUCUCAGUUGACUUUCAUUUGCAAACAAAUUUUAUAUCUCAGUUUCUCUUCACCAUGGAGGAACCUUCACCAAAC